AUCAAAGUUGACAGCGUAAAGUCAGGAUGGCGCUUCUAUCUUGUAGUUUUCCUAUUGAGAGACGUCAAGGGCGCUCGCAUGUGUGUGGUUUUAUGUAUACAUGUAUAUGUAUGUAUGAAGCUGUUAUCGGCCGUGUGCAAGUCCACAAGACAAUCUUCAGACGAAAGAGAAGUGAUGAUCACCGGACGGGAGCCGAGCCAGCGAUACUGCGUUGGUUCUGACGUCCUCGGCCGGCUCCAGUCGUCGGGAUGUUGCCAUGGUUACCAGAAGCGGACGUAGUAGGCGUCCCUCUUCCCGAUGCACGUGAACAGCACCAGCACAGCGAUGACAACUUUAAGGGAGAGAGAGAGAAAAGAUAGAAUUAUUAAAAGAUGCUGUAGUUGACCAUGUCGAUGUCUACACAAGCAUAUUAAACUGGCGACCACCACCACCACCACCAAAUUAACCGAUCCCAACAGUUGCUUUCUCAAUGACAACGCCACAGCUGCAAACGUCAGUCUACCCUUUUUCACGACACACAGCCCAGAGGCCUGGUUCUUUAGGGCAGAGACGAUCUUCAGGUCGGGUAAAAAGAAAGUUCACGGCGUCAUCACAAAAAUCUGAAGCGCUCCUUGAAUGCCUACCUGACAAUGUCUUCAGACAAAUAGCAGAGUGGCUGGCCGAGUCAGACAACUGUCACAUGAGAUUUUGAAGGCACAACCUUCAGCCCUCAGAGCUAGAAAAUUCUUAGAUAUCAUAGGAAUGGCAAUAGGAGAGCCUAGCCAUCACACGUCUACAAGCAACUACGAUGACUUACAACAAUUCCGGUCACAGACAGCCAACCAGAGAUAACACUGGACUUAGUGUGUGAAGUUCAUGUGUGAAGUUCAUCCUGACGAAUUUGCUGCACAAAACGGUCACUGCAAUUCCCAACGCAUCCAUCAUGCCCCUAGAGGAAUUUCUCAAAAUGGUAGAUGCGGUUCAUCUGGCCCAGACAUCAUCAGAGCCCACUCAACCACCACAACCCGAAAGUGACGAAGAAGUGAUAUAAAUAUCAAGUCACAUUUCCCCACCACUGCCACACACACACCACUCCUGAAACAAGAGGGAAAACUGCCAAAUCAGAAAAUACAGCCUGAUACGCUAUGUAGAGGAUCAUAAAAGGACACGACCAAGGGGUUUUACUUCUGCCACUGGAGAUUUGGAGCAAGGCUCAAGUGAACAGGGUUGUCUGUAUGCUAUCAAAAACAUGUUGCUGCAGCCCAACCAACUACCCAUAUCACCACUGCCAGACUGGUUGCCUCGUAAGAGGGAACGAGGAGGCAACAGGCCUUUCAGUGUCUGUCUUCUAGAAAUAAGCAAACGCACAUAAUGUCUCUAUAGUUGAUGUGAGCUCAUGCAUCUUUCAUCCCAGCCAACCUGAAUGAACGGCUAAAAGCAGCCCCCAACACUUUCCAUGGGUACUGCUAACAAUGCCCCACUAAAAAUUCAUGGCAUCAAAAGCUUGAGUUUUACUGUAUCCUCAGGUACAAGGGCUCCUCCAACAAUGUUGCAGCUGCGCUUUCCAGGAGCACUGUUAAAAUGCCGUCCAGAUCCAGAUAUCCUGAGAUAACAGCAGCCCAGAAGGAUGAAGCAGACUACACCUUCUGAUGAAGCAGACCUACAGCAACUCUGGUGGUAAAGUUCCACCAUCUCAAGGAGGGAUUUCACCAUAAAUAUUGGAGAAGCAAUAUUACCUGUGAAAACUAGUACCUGACGCUGUGUACCGCUGGCCUUGAAGAGAAAAGGCUUUCAGUCUUGACCAUGAUCUGUCACACCCAUCAGGCUGCUCCACUGCCCAUACCUGACAAGAAUACAUUUGGUGGGCAAUGACGAUGGACUUGAAGAAAUGGCCUACCCAGCGUCCUACCAAGCAUCCAAACAGCUGAAUGGAAAGUUGUGCGAAAGCUCUAUUCAACUAGAACCUACACAGAGUCCCCUUGGUAACAUCACCGGUAA